rnacentral:rRNA from 1 species
AACGAACGCUGGCGGCAGGCCUAAUACAUGCAAGUCGAACGGGUGUAGCAAUACAUUAGUGGCGCACGGGUGCCUAACGCGUGGGAACAUACCCUUGAGUAAGGAAUAAUGUCUGGAAACGGACACUAAUACCUUAUAAUGACUUCGGUCCAAAGAUUUAUCGCUCAAGGAUUGGCCCGCGUCUGAUUAGCUAGUUGGUGAGGUAACGGCUCACCAAGGCGACGAUCAGUAGCUGGUCUGAGAGGAUGAUCAGCCACACUGGGACUGAGACACGGCCCAGACUCCUACGGGAGGCAGCAGUAAGGAAUAUUGGACAAUGGAGGAAACUCUGAUCCAGCCAUGCCGCGUGAGUGAAGAAGGCCUUAGGGUUGUAAAGCUCUUUCAAUGGUGAAGAUAAUGACGGUAGCCAUAGAAGAAGCCCCGGCUAAAUUCGUGCCAGCCGCCGCAGUAA